GACGAACGCUGGCGGCGUGCCUAACACAUGCAAGUCGAACGAGGUCCAUGCAGUGGCAACACUGCGGAAGACCUAGUGGCGAACGGGUGAGUAACACGUGAGGAACCUGCCCCCGAAAGACCGGGAUAACCCUCCGAAAGGAGAGCUAAUACCGGAUACCCCCACCGGAUCGCAUGAUCUGGUGAGGAAAUGGAUUCCGCUUCGGGAGGGCCUCGCGGCCUAUCAGCUAGUUGGUGGGGUAACGCCCACCAAGGCAUCGACGGGUAGCUGGUCUGAGAGGACGAUCAGCCACACUGGGACUGAGACACGGCCCAGACUCCUACGGGAGGCAGCAGUGGGGAAUCUUGCGCAAUGGGCGAAAGCCUGACGCAGCAACGCCGCGU
rnacentral:rRNA from 1 species